UUGGUUAGUGUGCAUGAGGUAUCCUAUAUUCAGUUCCUGGCAGUGGCAAAACAGGAAAAACAAAAAACAAACUUUUUUUGAAGACAGUCACUAUGUUGCUGAGGCUGGCCUCAAACUCAAGAGAAUUGCUGUUCCUGCCUCCCCAUGUGCUGGGAUUAAAGGUGUGCACCACCAUUCCUAGCUUAUGUUUUUCCCAGGAAGGCUGAACAGUUUUCAGUAUUGUCCUAUUAAUUACAUCAGUAGAACUUUGAAGAAACAGAAUCCUGGUUAAUGGUGAUUCCUGGCUAUUAGAAUCAUAUACCAAGUCUUUUUCCCCCUUGGGUGUUUAUUUUUGUCAGAUUGGCAGUGUCCUAGCAGGUCUUCUAAGGAAUACCAGCCCUUUUUUGUUUUCAGUUUAGGGAACAACUAAUAUUGAAUAUGAAGGUCAGCCUUGGCCUUCUGAGUAGCUACUGUAGGAAGGUAAUGCCCCUUCAGAGCUGAUAACAUUUUAAGUGAUGUCCUUUCCUCUCCAGAUUUGCAUCCCUGGUUGCCGUCUACAUCAUGGGGGGUUUCUUAUACCAGCGACUGGUGGUGGGAGCCAAGGGAAUGGAGCAGUUUCCCCAUUUGGCCUUCUGGCAGGACCUUGGCAACCUCGUAGCUGAUGGUUGUGACUUUGUGUGCCGCUCCAAACCCCGCAACGUGCCUGCUGCCUAUCGUGGAGUUGGGGAUGACCAGCUGGGGGAAGAGUCGGAAGAAAGGGAUGAUCAUUUGCUACCAAUGUGAUUGCACUUUUAAUGUCCAGCCACCUCUUCAGUCCCCAAACCAAAGCAUACACAGCCAGAUUUCUCAAGCCGUCUCUUCGCAUCUCUCGCCUUGCCAUUAAAAUUCUUGCCUUCCAGUGGGCUUUUGAUUUGACCCUAAA